AGGAGAAAGUGCAGAGUCACCAUGUGAGCCUGGAAAGACAGGACGCUUGUUGAUGACAUUCAAUAAGCAGUGGGACCUGGCAAAACAAGGGAAAAUCCAGCAAUACUCCUGCCUCCAGAAUCUUGCCCUAUUUGAGUUCCUGUCCUGACUUCCUUCAGUGAUGAACAGCAACAUAAAAGUCCUAGAUGCCCCUCAACCGAAGAAUGGAUGGAGAAAAUGUACAUUUACACAAUGGAGUACUACUCAGCAGAAAAAAAAAAAAAAACAAUGGAAUCUUGAAAUUUGCAGGAAAAUGGAUGGAACUCGAAGAAACCAUUCUGAGCAAGUGUAACACAAAUAAUAAAAACCCAGAGGCAGAUAUUGGAGUUCAAGCUGAAGAUCAGAAAAGCAAAGCAGCCAAGCCACCAGAGAGCUCCACCUCUACAAGUCUGGGGAGAUCCUGUCUUGAACAUGGCUGGAGACUAAUUGCCACAAUCCAAGACCCUGCUCCUGUUUUAUAUACCUCUCUGGUGCUGGGAUUUAAGCCUUCAUCCAGCAGCUGGUGGAAGUAGAAGUAGACACUCACAGCUAAACACUGAACUGAACUGGAAUCCAGUUGCAGAGAAGGAGGAAUGAUGAGCAAAGUGGACAAGACCUUGCUGGUGAAAUCCACAGAAACAGCUGACCUGAACAAGGUGGAACUCUUGGCCCCCAGACUGAUCAUGGGAAACCAGCAUAGGACUGAUCCAGACCCCAUGAAUGUGGGUGUCAGGGAGGAGGCCUCUGAAAUCUAUGGGGCCUCUUGUAGUAGAUCAGUACUUAUCCCUAGCAUAGGAAUGGACUUUGGGAGCCCAUUUCACAUAGAGGGAUACUCCCUCAGCCUAGACACACAGGGGAGGAGGGCCUAGGCCCUAUCCCAAAGGAUAUGACAGACUCUGAAGAGAUCCCCUAUGGAAGGCCUCACCCUCCCUGGGGAGCAGAAAUGGUAUGGAAUAGGUAGGGUGUUUAUUGGGGGGCAGGGGAGGAGAAGAGGGAGAGGGAACUGGGAUUUACAUGUAAAACAAUAUUGUUUCUAAUUUAAAUAAAA
rnacentral:lncRNA from 1 species